AGAUUGAACGCUGGCGGCAGGCCUAACACAUGCAAGUCGAGCGGUAGAGAGGUGCUUGCACCUCUUGAGAGCGGCGGACGGGUGAGUAAUGCCUAGGAAUCUGCCUAGUGGUGGGGGAUAACGUUCGGAAACGGACGCUAAUACCGCAUACGUCCUACGGGAGAAAGCGGGGGACCUUCGGGCCUCGCGCCAUUAGAUGAGCCUAGGUCGGAUUAGCUAGUUGGUGAGGUAAUGGCUCACCAAGGCCGACGAU
rnacentral:rRNA from 1 species